AAAACAAAGAAGAAAAGAAAGCACAAGACACAAACAGAAAGCAACGCGCCUCCCCCUCCCCACUCCCGUUCUUUCUUUCUUUCUCUUUUUUUCCAUUGAAUUGUAAAAAAUAAACAAAAAAUCUCGACAACGUUCUGAAAAACUAAAAAA
rnacentral:ribozyme from 1 species